rnacentral:rRNA from 1 species
CGGUGAGUAUACAUCGGAAACGUGUCCGGAGGGGGAUACCCCGGCGAAACCGGAUUAAUCCCGCAUACGCUCUGUGGAGGAAAGCGGGGAUCUUCGGACCUCGCGCUCAAGGGGCGCCGAUGGCAGAUUAGCUAGUUGGUGGGGUAAAGGCCUACCAAGGCGACGAUCUGUAGCUGGUCUGAGAGGACGACCAGCCACACUGGGACUGAGACACGGCCCAGACUCCUACGGGAGGCAGCAGUGGGGAAUUUUGGACAAUGGGGGCAACCCCUGAUCCAGCAAUGCCGCGUGUGUGAAGAAGGCCUUCGGGUUGUAAAGCACUUUUGUCCGGAAAGAAAACCGCUUCUCUAAUACAGAGGGCGGGAUGACGGUACCGGAAGAAUAAGCACCGGCUAACUACGUGCCAGCAGCCGCGGUAUACGUAGGGUGCAAGCGUAUCGGAAUUACUGGGCGUAAAGCGUGCGCAGGCGGUUCGCUAAGACCGAUGUGAAAUCCCCGGGCUUAACCUGGGAACUGCAUUGGUGACUGGCGGGCUAGAGUAUGGCAGAGGGGUAGAAUUCCAAACGUGUAGCAGUGAAAUGCGUAGAGAUUGAGCACUA